GGCGUUUUGACUUGCAUCAGCCACUAUAUGUAUGUCAAACAUGCCAGCAGCAGUGGACCCCUGACAUGAAGGACCUCCUAAGAAGUGGAUAUUGGCCAGCCUCUGUCCAGAACUCCACACUUUAUACACUGGACCUCCUGAGCUCCCUUCAGGAACUCAAGAUCAUUUCUCCGGGAUUCUCCAGACAAGCCUUCGCAAAGCUGCUGGAGCAUCGCACUAAGUGUGGAGGAAGAUCUGGACCUAUCAACGGCGAUGCACUGCAGCGCAGCUUCUUAGAGCUUUAAUAUGCAUCAUUUGAGGAAGACCAGCUCUGCUGUAGUUCUCCUUUCACCUGCCCAGCCUGCAAGCCGGAAAUGUUGGCUGUUUCAGCAGAUGGAAACAGAAAGCUAUAUCGCUUUCGCCGAAACGGAAGCUCUGAUGAUCCUGGCUUUUUUGAGGGGCUCUUUGUGGCUGAAGACAGUGCUGUGUCUAGAUUUGUCGACACCAUACAGAAAGCAGUGAGAAAUGCA